rnacentral:lncRNA from 1 species
GGAUGUGGAAUUUCUCUUUUCUUUAUUUCCUCGAAAGAAUAAAGUGUUUAGGUAGAAGUAGGUAGGUAUGUGGUGCAUAAUAGUGUUCUAUUAGCAUCAUUUAUUUCUCCUCUUUAGAAUUAGUGUACGGUGAUUCAUAAUUUUCUUUUAGCUUAAGGUUCAUUCAUUUUCUUAUUUUAUUUGGAGAUCUCGGUGGGCAAUGAUUCACUUUUCAAUUGGUUCAUUCAAUUUCCUUGAAUGAAAAGAUGGCAUGGUGAUUUAUUUUUUGCAUUCACGGUCUUUUGGAGGUGCAGCCGCCAAUCAUAAGAUUUUCUUUCUUUUAAAAAGCAAACGCUGAUUAAGAUUGAAAGGUGCACAUGGUUUACUUUUCUUGAAUUGUUUCCACACUUUAAAAUUGUUCCGGUAUUUUUUUUAAUUGAAUCUUUAUUCUACCUAUUAAAUGCAUUUCUCUAAAGUUUCGUCCAGCUUCAUGAUUUUAAAUGUCGUUAGUUCUUUUUAUUUUAGUUACUUAUUCUUUUUGUUUUUGGUUAUUUUUAUUUAAUUAUAGUAUUUACUGUUAGGUUCUUUUAUUUUAGUUACUUAUUUUUUUUUGUUAUUUUUAUUUAAUGUUGUCAUUCUCUUUAACAUUUUUAAUUAUGUUUUUUUUUUGUUGUGUUUAAUGUUCAUUUUAAUUUAGUCAUCUACAUUCACAAACAAAACUUUUCACCAAAACCUCCCACUUCGUGUCUGACCUAAUUCUUGAAUCACAUUUGGUCCUUGAGAGACGACCUAGGAGUCAUUUCCUAGCUAUACUGCAUUUCUAAUAUGCAAUCAAAUUUGUAUGGGCCGCGACAACCCACCACACUACUCAACAAAAUUCAUCCUAAUCUAGAAGUUCAAAAUACAAAAGAAAAAGAAAGAUAAAACCCUAUUCUACUACAAUGGCAUCCAUUAGUAGAUGCCCUAUCAGCCCAUACUUUCAUCUGAAUAUUCAUCUUCUCCAGCCUCUGCAUCCUCAAAGUCGUCAUCCUCCUCAUCAUCGUCGUCCAUAUCUGGAGCUUCAGCUGCUCCAGCUCCACUCCCCUGUGCCUGCUCCUGAGGCCAAGCCAUAACACUAUGGAACUCAGCCAUAGUCCACCUGUGCACUGGUGGUGUGUCAUAUAAGCCUAUUAUCAUCUCAAUUGUGGCCACCUGCCCUUUGCGGAGAGACUCCAUCCUAGCCUCCAUCAUGGACAUGUACAUGUCCCUCAUCUGGAAGGGCUCUGCGUGCUGUGCACGCUCAUCCUAGUGAGCUGCUUCUCUCCUAGCCCGUCUCCGAGACACUGGUCAGGUCGCCUCA